GUUCUCGCUGCAGUGUUACCAUGGCAAUCAAAAAACAAAAAAUUGUGUGAGGAAGGGUGAAGCCGAUAGUCCUGAACACUGAUCCUUCUCAACCGAGAAGGAACCUCUGCAUCGCCGCUGCCUUUUGCUACAGUUAUCUUCAUCUUUAGAAGAAAAAAAAAAAAAGCAAGAGGAAGAAGAAGAAGUCGCUGCCACCCCUGCCGGACCCCUGUUUCCGGCCAGCCCACCCGCCGCCGCUGCUGCCCAACCGACAGCCACCACCGUCGCCGCUG
rnacentral:lncRNA from 1 species